rnacentral:rRNA from 1 species
UCCUACGGGAGGCAGCAGUAGGGAAUUUUCCACAAUGGGCGAAAGCCUGAUGGAGCAACGCCGCGUGCAGGAGGAAGGCCUUCGGGUCGUAAACUGCUUUUAUCUGUGACGAUUUUGACGGUAGCAGAUGAAUAAGGAUCGGCUAACUCCGUGCCAGCAGCCGCGGUCAUACGGAGGAUCCAAGCGUUAUCCGGAAUUACUGGGCGUAAAGAGUUGCGUAGGUGGCAUAGUAAGCAAAUAGUGAAAUGAUACGGCUCAACCGUAUGUCCAUUAUUUGAACUGCUAAGCUUGAGUAUGAGAGAGGUAGAUGGAAUUUCUAGUGUAGGAGUGAAAUCCGUAGAUAUUAGAAGGAACACCGAUGGCGUAGGCAGGCUACUGGCUCAUUACUGACACUAAGGCACGAAAGCGUGGGGAGCGAACGGGAUUAGAUACCCCGGUAGUCCACGCCGUAAACUAUGGAUGCUAGCUGUUAGAAGUAUCGACCCUUCUAGUAGCGAAGCUAACGCGUUAAGCAUCCCGCCUGUGGAGUACGAGCGCAAGCUUAAAACAUAAAGGAAUUGACGGGGACCCGCACAAGCGGUGGAGCGUGUUGUUUAAUUCGAUGGUAAGCGAAGAACCUUACCCAGGCUUGACAUCCUUGGAAGGUCUCCGAAAGGAGACUGUGCCUUUUGGAACCAAGUGACAGGUGUUGCAUGGCCGUCGUCAGCUCGUGUCGUGAGAUGUUUGGUUAAGUCCAUCAACGAGCGCAACCCUUGUAGUUAGUUGAAUUUCUCUGGCUAGACUGCCCCGGUAACGGGGAGGAAGGAGGGGAUGAUGUCAGGUCAGUAUUACCCUUAUGUCUGGGGCUACAAACACACUACAAUGGCCGGUACAAAGGGCAGCCAACCCGCGAGGGGGAGCAAAUCCCAUCAAAGCCGGUCUCAGUUCGGAUUGCAGGCUGAAACUCGCCUGCAUGAAGCUGGAAUCGCUAGUAACGGUAGGUCAGCAAACUACCGUGAAUACGUUCCCGGGCCUUGUACACACCGCC